CACGGGGGGAGCAAGCGUUGUUCGGAAUCACUGGGCGUAAAGGGCGUCUAGGCGGUCAGAUAAGUGGGAUGUGAAAUGCCCCGGCUCACCCGGGGACCGGCAUCCCAAACUGUCUGGCUUGAGUAUGGGAGAGGAUGUGGGAAUUCCUGGUGUAGCGGUGAAAUGCGUAGAGAUGGGGGAGAACACUCGUGGCGAAGGCGGCCAGCUAGACCAGUUCUGACACUGAGGCGCGACAGCGUGGGGAGCAAACAGG
rnacentral:rRNA from 1 species